rnacentral:rRNA from 1 species
CAUGUCCUUUUGAAAAUAAUUUAAGGUCUAAUCUGCUCAAUGAAAAUUAAAUUGCCGCAGUAUUUUGACUGUGCAAAGGUAGCAUAAUAAUUAGUUUAUUAAUUAUAAACUGGAAUGAAUGAUUGGACAAGAAAAUUUCUGUCUCUUUAUUAUUUUUUUUUGAAUUUUAUUUUUAAGUGAAAAAGCUUAAAUUUAUAUAAAAGACGAGAAGACCCUAUAGAGUUUAAUAUAUAAAUUUAUUUAAUAAUAGAAUAUUUAUAAUAAAAAUAUAUUUGGUUGGGGUGAUUUAAAAAUUAAAAUAAUUUUUUAAAUAAUAAAUUGGUGAUUUCUAAAUUUAAAAUCUAUAAUUUAUAAUUAUAAAACAAAUUACCUUAGGGAUAACAGCGUAAUUAUUUUUAAAAGAUCUUAUUUAAAAAAUAGUUUGCGACCUCGAUGUUGGAUUAAAAUUAAUUUUUGGUGUAGUAGCUAAAAUAUUAGGUCUGUUCGACCUUUAAAAUUUUACAUGAUCUGAGUUUAGACCGGUGUAAACCAGGUUGGAUUCUAUCUUUAAUAAUAUUAUAUAUUUUAGUACGAAAGGACCAAAUAUAUAUUAAAUUAAUUG